UCGCAUUCAGUUGCCAUCGGGUAAUGCCGGGCGACUCUGGAAGGACUGCCAUCGACAAGAUGGAGGAAGGUGGGGAGUGACGUCAAGUCAUCAUGGCCCUUAUGUCCAGGGCGACACACGUGCUACAAUGGCCGGCACAACGGGAAGCGAGUUCGCGAGGACGAGCGGAUCCCUCAAAGCCGGUCGCAGUUCGGAUUGAAGUCUGCAACUCGACUUCAUGAAGCUGGAAUCGCUAGUAAUCGUGGAUCAGCCAAGCCGCGGUGAAUACGUUCCCGGGCCUU
rnacentral:rRNA from 1 species